UGUUCUUGGGGCCUUUGUAGAAAAUCAAUUGUCUGUACACAUAUGGACUAUUUCUUUAUUCUCUACCAGUAGUUUAUCUUUGCUCUAUUUGUUCUUGUAACUCCCCCGCUUUGCCUCUUUUUCUCUCUCUCUCUAUGCAAAUGCAAGUAUUUCAAUACAUGCAAAUAUAUAUUAAUAUUUUAAUGAACCAUCACUUAUCCUUAAAUACUUAACUGUCUUUUUUAAACACAGGAAUUCUCUUACCUAAUUUAAGCUCAAUGAUAUCAAAGGAAUUUAUUAUCAAUUUUCUACUAUUAUUUAGUAUAUAGUUCAUAUUUAAAAGUCAACAGUUAUUUCAGCAGGCUGCUUUGUGUGACUAUUUUUUUCCAGUCCAAGAUCCAACCCAACAGCAUACAUUGCAUUUAAUUAUCAAGCCUUGUUGUCCCCUUUUAAUCUGUACCACUUUCCUCAAUCUUUCUCUGGCACUGGCAUCUUUGAAGCAUACAAGCCAGGUGUUUUACAGAAUAUCCCCUAAUUACGAAACCAAUAUAUUUUUAACUAGUAGGUACACGAGAAGUAGAGAGAGAAGCAGCAGUGAAUCGGGUCCCACAGAUAGCACUGAGAAUCAUCUCAUUAACUCUCAAGCGGUCUCCACCCCCUCGUCUCUGGCUGUGGGUGGACGAAAACAUGAGGCUGAAGAUGCGUUGAUCUCAGGAACACUUGGCGAGUGCUGACUUCUGGCCAGGCGCUGUGCUGCAC
rnacentral:lncRNA from 1 species